rnacentral:pre_miRNA from 1 species
CACGUAUUCCCUCCGUUCGGAAUUACUUGUCGCGAAAAUGGAUGUAUCUAGACGUAUUUUAGUUCUAGAUACGUCCAUUUUCGAGACAAGUAAUUCCGAACGGAGGGAGUACGUG